AAUAGAUACCCGGGUAGUCCAUGCCGUAAACGAUGAAUGCUAGGUGUAGGGGUGUCAAAGCUCUGUGCCGCAGUUAACACAAUAAGCAUUCCGCCUGGGGAGUACGGCCGCAAGGUUGAAACUCAAAGGAAUUGACGGGGGGCCCGCACAAGCAGUGGAGCAUGUGGUUUAAUUCGAAGCAACGCGAAGAACCUUACCAGUACUUGACAUCCUACUAAGGGAAAGAGAUUUUCCUGUGCCUGCUUGCAGGAAAGUAGAGACAGGUGGUGCAUGGUUGUCGUCAGCUCGUGUCGUGAGAUGUUGGGUUAAGUCCCGCAACGAGCGCAACCCCGUAUUAAUAGUUGCCAGCAGUAAGAUGGGCACUCUAUUGAAACUGCCGUGGAUAACACGGAGGAAGGCGGGGAUGACGUCAAAUCAUCAUGCCCCUUAUGUUCUGGGCUACACACGUGCUACAAUGGGUGAUACAGAGAGAAGCGAGAUAGUGAUAUGGAGCAAAACUCAUAAAGUCAU
rnacentral:rRNA from 1 species